UCAAUCCCCGACUUGGCUACGGAGGCACACAAAUAAGCACACCUUUCCUACUCCUUUCCGCCCCUUCUCGUUCUCUUUCUGCUUCCCAAAUAACUCCCCUCUCCCAAACUCUCAUCGCCAUCCCUUCAAUCGAACGAACAAACGCCCGCUCACUACUCCCUCUCCCUCCCGCCCUAUCCGGUCCCCUCCUCCUCGCCGCUCGACCUCCCGCUCCGACGCGGAUGGGAGACGAGGGCUCCGCCGAGACUCCGGCGACCAGGAAGAGGCCGAGGGACGUCGGGGAUCUGAAGCGGGUGGCGGAGAUCGUCAUGGUCUUGUCGGCCAUGGGCCAGAUGCGGGGCGGCAGGGAGCCCGUGGCGGCCGAGAAGGCACUGGUCGCUGAGGCGAGGGAGAGGCUCGUCACGAUGUGCGAGGGUCUCAAGCCCAAGGAGCUCUUCUCCAGGGAGGCUGUCAGGGUCGUGGUGGAGGAUCUGGGUCUGAAUAGGUCCAAGGAUCCCGUGCUGGGGUUCCGGCCGCCCAAGAUGUCGAUUGCCGAGAAGUUGCUACUCACCAAGAAAAAGAUGGAAGAGUCCAAGGAAACUCACAUGCGCUCAUCAGUUUAUUCGCUUCAACAUCUUCCAGUAAGCUUCGGUGCAAAAUCUGAAUCACAUGGACCCUUGGCACAUGAUGCUUCUAGGUUUAUGCAGGUUAAAAGUCCGAUGGAGACCUCUGCUGGAGGUUUUCAAAUUUCUUCACCGGUAGCACAUGCUCCUGUCCUAACCUCUGCUGCCUCUUCUUUUAAGCAGUCACAUAUUAGUGAUGUGCAGGCUGUUGUUAAUCCUGUAAAACAACCAUCCGGUUCACUUGAAAGGGGUUCUUCUUCAGCACAUGUUAAAUUGAAUGCAAAACCUGGUGGUCCAUCUUAUCUGACACAAGCUCAAGAAAACAUGCAUCAUAAAAUUCCAAUAUCUUCUGUGCAAUCAACACCUGCUGCUGUGUCAAAGUUUGGCCAAGCAAAUAAAUUUCUGGAUCAUAAUUCUGCAAAGUCUGAGGUUACUACUGGUGUGAAUGCUGUCCAAUCUUCCCAUCAGGUGAUGAGAAGUCAUGAAAUUAAGCCUUCUAUAAUUCAACCUGGACCAGGAGGCCUGCAUAUUGUCCAUCAACCUCCUCAAGGCUUGGGACUUGUUCAUACACCUGCUCUUUUUACGAACCAUAAUGACAUUGCUAAAAGCGUGCUGACAAUAUUGCAAGCAAAGGUUUCUGAUCAUCCAAUUUGGACUCCCCCAUCAACCGAGCACAUGAAUGCUACUAUAAAUUGCCAACUAUGCAAGAACAUUAUCAUUGAUAUAGAGUGUUUGCUCAUCUGUGAUGCUUGUGAGAAAGGAAACCACUUGAAAUGUCUUCAAUCAUAUGGUAAUAAAGGUAUUCCUAAAGCAGAAUGGCAUUGUCCGAGAUGCUUGGCAUCAAGUAAUGGAAAGCCAUUGCCACCUAAAUAUGGUCGGGUUACAAGAGCUUCUGUUAGCGCACCAAAGACUGCUGCAAAUGCGAGCGUUCAUGCUUCUUCUAAGAAAACAGAAAGUUUGGACACCAGGGUUAAUGAACAGAAAGCAAUAGCCAAUGACAAUUCUGGUGUUGCUCAACAAGCCUAUUCUUUGAACAUGGAGGACAAUCAUUGCAUGUCAAUUCCAGAUUCAAGGACAACUGGAGGGGAAGUACAAGUGAUUAUGACCAUUAUUGGAAGUAAAAGAGAGGAUGACACACUUAAGGCAAUUGACGUUGAUCCAUUAAAGGAAAUAACCGGGGCUGUAUGUGCCCAUCCAGACAUGCACAGUGAGGAUCUUAACAACAUUGAGGAUAAUAGAUUAUCCUUGGUCGAUGCUAAACCAACCUCCGUGUCUGUUUUGGAGCCAAGUCCUAUGCCAAAAGAUUCCUGUGAGCAUGCACAUGAUAUGGUUGUUGAAAAUAAUAAUUUGUCUGAAGCACCAUUAACACAUGAUUUUGACCAAGUUCAAUUGUCUGGCGAUGUCAAUGCUUCUGCAAUUCAACUGGAUGAAAAUAUCAAAACUGUCAAGUCUGAACCUGAAGCAGCACUUGGUGAAAAGAGAUCACCUGAAUACUUGGAUGGUUGUAGUAAUAGGUUAGCCAAAGAAGGCAGUUGUCAGACCUCUGAUGGUGAUGGAUAUACAAUGAAUCAAAGGGCUCAUUUCAGCACCAGCUGAUGGUGUUGGAUGAUAUUGUUUUAUAUUUUAUCCCCCACGACUGUUUUUUCUUCCAAGUGGUCCUGCAAUUAGGUACUCACACGAGUCACCAAUCAUGAAGCCAACAAAAUUUGGCAUUUUAUGGUCAUACUGUUCACCACAUCUAUCCUAUAGUUUAGGCACCUUAUUGAUCUCUCUGUAACUUAAUGUUUCUGAACUGGCUAACCUGUUCUAUUUAUUGAAAUCAAAGCCUUCGUCGAAUGGGUGUCUGGGUGUCGCAGUUGGUUCCUUCAACUGUUGACCUAGGAUGCCCUACUCGUUCCCAUUACAGAAGUGGGUCUGGUCCUUUUGUUGUAGAAUGGCAGGCUGUUGCAAGGAUCUCACUUUGUUUUCAGAGCAUUCAAUUUCAUAAUUGGGAUCGUUGUACCUUUGCAUGAAGCUUUCCAAGUUAUGAUGAACUGGUUAUUAAAGCAUCGUUAUCAGGUUCUCUGGUGAAACAACACAAUUAAUGAUAUAAAGCAUCGUUGCUUUGGAUUAGAGAUGUUAGUGUUUCCUUAAUGCAAGUGUUAGUGUUCCUCCAGAGCCAAUGCUGUGAUAAGCAAGCUCAAGAUCAUCCUUUAGAAAACCACUCAAGUUGCUGGUUUGAUGCUUCCUCUUGAGGUAAUGGAAGCAUUCACUGUCAUCCACAAACAAAGCUCAAGAUCUUUGUUUAAUUGUUUCUUUUUCAAAAUUUAUCAAAUAUUUAGAUAGAUGUUUAAAAUAAUUAGUUGUUUGUCUUGAUACUUAUAAUAUAAAGAGGCUUCUCUUUCUAUUAUAAGUUGCCUUUACCUAUUUGGCUAUGUUCAUGUUUCUUUUCAGAAAUUUACGAGGAUCUAACUGCU